rnacentral:rRNA from 1 species
UCCUACGGGGGGCAGCAGUAGGGAAUUUUCGUCAAUGGGCGCAAGCCUGAACGAGCAAUGCCGCGUGAACGAGGAAGGUCUUCGGAUCGUAAAGUUCUGUCGAAGGGGAAAAAGAGCGGAGAGAGGAAAUGGUCUCCGAUUGAUAUUACCCUUCGAGGAAGUCACGGCUAACUACGUGCCAGCAGCCGCGGUAAUACGUAGGUGGCGAGCGUUAUCCGGAAUGAUUGGGCGUAAAGGGCGCGUAGGCGGCCUGCUAAGUCUGGAGUGAAAGGUACCGGCUCAACCGGUACAGGCUCUGGAACGUG